rnacentral:rRNA from 1 species
CUUGCCUCAUAUAAGAGGUCCAGCCUGCCCAGUGACACUGUUCAACGGCCGCGGUAUCCUAACCGUGCGAAGGUAGCGUAAUCACUUGUUCUUUAAAUGAGGACUAGUAUGAAAGGCAUCACGAGAGUCAUACUGUCUCCUUUCUCUAAUCAGUGAAACUAAUCCCCCCGUGAAGAAGCGAGGAUAAAAAUAUAAGACGAGAAGACCCUAUGGAGCUUUAAACAAAUAAUACUUACCAACCUUUAUUAAAUUUCAGAAAAAUUUCCCUAUUUUGGUAUUAUAAUUAUUAGUUUUUGGUUGGGGUGACCACGGAAUAAAAAACAACUUCCGCAAUGAAAACACUUCACUUAGUUAAGGACUACGAUCCUAUUCAUCAAUAAAUUGACAUUAAUUGACCCAACUCGUUGAUCAAUGAAC